GACGUAGGGCGCAAGCGUUGUCCGGAAUUAUUGGGCGUAAAGAGCUCGUAGGCGGCUUGUCACGUCGGGUGUGAAAGCCCGGGGCUUAACCCCGGGUCUGCAUUCGAUACGGGCUAGCUAGAGUGUGGUAGGGGAGAUCGGAAUUCCUGGUGUAGCGGUGAAAUGCGCAGAUAUCAGGAGGAACACCGGUGGCGAAGGCGGGUCUCUGGGCCGAUACUGACGCUGAGGAGCGAAAGCGUGGGGAGCGAACAGG
rnacentral:rRNA from 1 species